GCCCAUGUGGCUUAGUGAAUAGGGCACUGGUCCCACAUACCGGAGGUGGCGGGUUCAAACCCAGCCCUGGCCA
rnacentral:tRNA from 1 species